rnacentral:misc_RNA from 1 species
UGCUGCAGGACCAUCUUGCUGGGUCAUAUUGUUAAGCAAUGAUCCAAUUAGCUCAGGCCAUUGCUUCUGGGGAAUCUCAAUGGAAGCAACCUUGGCAAUUACUUGGGCAGAUGUAUUUCUAGCCUCCUGUACAGAUGAACCAAGUGUUCUCAAUAGCAAGUCUUUGAUUUGAGAUUUAAUAGAAAUUUCAAUCACCAUCCAUUGUUGGACAAGAUGUUCCUUUCUCAUGGCAUCUUUUGCAUCCAAGGAGUUCUUAAGCACAAUACCAGCCAACCGACGAGAUUCAUUAGGUUUCUCAUUGUUUGCAAGUUCAACUGAUAAAGACAAAAGGAAAAGAGGCAAAUUCUGCUCUUGGAACUGCCUAAGAUUAGCCUCUGCCUCAUUUCGGACUUUUGCAUCCAGAGAUUGGGCAGACAACAGAAUUGGAGUGAUCUCCAUAGCCAUUUCUUUCAACACUUUCAGUAGGAACGUGAUAAAACCCUAUAGAAGACCAAAACCACGCCGAGAAUGAACUUAGGGCUCUCUCUCUCUCUGACUCUCCGCGCCCUCUCACUGUGCUAUCGUCGAGCAAAACGAAGAGAAGAUAAGAGAGGGAUUGAUGAUUGGAGUAUAUAGGAUUUGAAUCUGGGAGUUUUUGGGGGGUAUUAUAUAAUCUAUUUCGAAUGCAGAGAAGAAGCGGGAGGUGGGGACUUUCUUGGGAAAUUAUCG